rnacentral:SRP_RNA from 1 species
AGGCGGGUCCUGUGCAACAGGCCGCCGUGAACCAUGUCAGGCGGGGAACCGAGCAGCAUUAAGCGGAUGUGUUUGUGUGCCGCAGCCAACCUGCCUUUC